AUGGCGCACGGUGUUAAAAGACUUGGACUGCAUGUACCAUCCGAUUUGUACAGCUCUCUCCCACCCCCGCCGCCAACAAACACAACACACACACACCAGGAGACGCACGCGCGGACGCAUCACCGGGGCCGUCUUGCUUGCAGUUGCUCGCGCGCACCUACCGGCCGCCGCUGGCCCGUGAGGCCGCCUCACCCGCGCAGAAGCGGAAGAGAGCGGAGCAGGAGGAGCAUGUGGCGACCGACGGCCUCGGCGCGCUGGACCUCCGACCGGCCAAGGGGCCGUUGGUGGGGUUCGAGCGGCCUCUGGGACAUCCUAUCUUGGGUGUUCCUCUUCGUUUGUGUACAUCAGAAAGUGGUUUUCAAACCGUGA
rnacentral:rRNA from 1 species